UGCAUAAGCUAGCCCCGAAAUCCGCGAGACCAGGGGCGUUCCCGCUCUGGAUCCUCGCGUCAUUUAGGGAACUUACCAACGGAACCGGUCGCGGGUUCUGAAGGGAAAUCUAACAGUGACUGUGCCUGUCGACAUCUUGUUUGCGUGAACGUCGGGGCAGAGAAAAGCUAAUGCAAACUGCGCUCGGAGAAUAACCAAAUCUUCACCUAAGGACCCGGGUUCGAUUCCCGGCACCUCCACCA
rnacentral:tmRNA from 1 species